rnacentral:rRNA from 1 species
CCUACGGGAGGCAGCAGUAAGGAAUAUGGGUCAAUGGACGCAAGUCUGAACCAGCCAUGCAGCGUGAAGGAUUAAGGUCCUCUGGAUUGUAAACUUCUUUUAUCUGGGACGAAAAAAGGCGAUUCUUCGUCACUUGACGGUACCAGAUGAAUAAGCACCGGCUAACUCCGUGCCAGCAGCCGCGGUAAUACGGAAGGUGCGAGCGUUAUCCGGAUUCACUGGGUUUAAAGGGUGCGUAGGCGGGCAGGUAAGUCAGUGGUGAAAUCCUGGAGCUUAACUCCAGAACUGCCAUUGAUACUAUCUGUCUUGAAUAUUGUGGAGGUAAGCGGAAUAUGUCAUGUAGCGGUGAAAUGCUUAGAUAUGACAUAGAACACCUAUUGCGAAGGCAGCUUACUACGCAUAUAUUGACGCUGAGGCACGAAAGCGUGGGGAUCAAACAGGAUUAGAUACCCUAGUAGUCC